ACUGGCGACUUGGACGGUCAACCGUUGGAAUUCGGCGAUUUACCCCGAAUCUCCACCGCGGCGGUGCGUUUUCGGGGGUUCGGCACUCUCAACGUUGUGACGGACCGCCGCCAUAUUUGUUUACGAAACCAAGCCUACCGAUCGCAUGCCCAAGCAUCGUGUGCUGAUCGAUUAUAGUAUAAUAAUUCAAAAUUAAUUUUAUCGUUUCAGUCGUUCCAUUUUAGCCUCAAUAAGCUAAGCUCACCGUUACGCGAACUAUUUUCCAGACCAAGUGCAAAUAACUGAGAGGAUAAAUGCAUAAAUAUCUCUUGACGCUUGCUGCCUGUUGGGCUGAUUGUUUUAUUUGUGUUGGGGUCAGAACAAAGCUGAAUCAAUGGCUUUUCUAGUUCAGAGGUAAGGAAUUUAUCUCAAGAGAAUAAUUUGAUUCUGUUGUGCAGCCUCUUAUAACACAGCCAGACCUAAAGUCCACAUGCUUCUUUUAAGGUCAGAAAGGUCUUUAAAGAAGUCAAUAUAAGUGAAAAUUUUUUUUCGGGCCCUCAGCUACUUUAUCUGCAAAGUGAAAUCUACAUUUUAACCAUUCAUGCUAGAUAUUCCAGAGAAAUUGGUCAGUGAUGAGUCUAAGUGUGUAGACUCUGAUGGAAAAUCCACCGGACAAUGACGCUGGUGUUUUGAAGACAGUUACAAAAAAAACAAAUGUUUGCAAAUGCGUAACAGACAAGUAUCGAAAUCUGAAGUCUACCAUAAACGUACGA